GGGCGGUUAGCUCAGUUGGUUUAGAGCGUUGCGUUGACAUCGCAGAGGUCGCUGGUUCGAACCCAGUACCGCCCACGA
rnacentral:tRNA from 1 species